rnacentral:rRNA from 1 species
UACAGAGGGGGCCAGCGUUAUUCGGAAUUAUUGGGCGUAAAGGGCGCGUAGGCGGCUUUGCGUGUCUUUCGUGAAAUCCCUCGGCUCAACUGAGGACGUGCGGAAGAAACUGCAGGGCUGGAGUCCGGGAGAGGAGGGCGGAAUUCCCAGUGUAGCGGUGAAAUGCGUAGAUAUUGGGAGGAGCACCGGUGGCGAAGGCGGCCCUCUGGACCGGUACUGACGCUGAUGCGCGAAAGCGUGGGGAGCAAACGGG